CCUGGCUCCUGCGCAGUCUAAUUAGUGCUCUGUCCCAGGGAGCGUGGGAUCGUGUCAUUUCAAUCUGGAAUGAAACUGAAACCAUCUAAACGGACAUUCUCACCACACAGCCGAGAUCUCUAGGCCCGGAGUGGACAUAGGUCCUUCAGGGUCGCGUGAGGCAUCCGCGCAGGAAGGACCCAGGGCUCGGGUCGCUGGCCUUCCCUUCAGCCCCAGUGCAAGGCUGGAUUCGUCGCUGUCUACCUGUCCUGCCCCCAUUUUCUCCGCGGCCCUCAGGGCCACCAGACACACCAGAAGGUGACACUGAAGCCCAGUGGAGGAGCUGCCUGCCUCAGACCACACAUAAAUGAGUAGCUGAGCAGAGCUUCAAGCCCAGGUCUCCAGGCUGAACAUGUGAACCUUGUCUCAGAGGAAGAAGAGAGAAGUCAGCAUCAGAUGUCAUCAGGAGCCUGGCUCCUGGUACCCCACCUUCUGAUUUGUCCCACACCAGUUGGCCCAAGGGAAUCCUACCCUUUCAGAGGUCAUAUACCCAAGUUCGAUCCUCAAGUUCUUUUUCACUAAUAUUAUGAAUUGAUUUUAUUCCCUCCACAAAUCUUGGCAAGGUUCCACCCCAUGCCAGACACUGUGUUAGGCACACAGGGCACGAAGAAGAUUGGCAUAUGGCCCCUGUGUCACCUGGUUUAGGGAGAGAAAAGCAAGUGUCACUGAAAGACCCCAGUGUGAACGGCAGCAGGAGUUGGGACCCCAGGCCUGGGGCACCAGCGGGCACGUGGGGAUAUCAGAGAUGCACUGCUGGAGGAUGCAAGAGCCAACUGAGGCCUUCGGGACAGAGAGGGUUGGCCAGGGGAAGAAGAGUCAAGAAAGGCCUUCCAAGCUGGAGGAACAGCAUGUGCAGAAGCCCAGAGGCCAGACAAGAAGGAAGAGAAUACAGCAUCAUCUGGUGGGCCCAGGACAAAGGCAACAGGGCUCUAUCAAAGUUCUCCUGCCAUAAGAAACCUCUGCUCACCCCAUGCCAAGCAGGACCCAAAUCAAUGACACCGAAGGACAGACUCCAACUUGGAGACUGGCUGGAGCUCAGGCUUUGUGCUGCUGUGGAUAUGAAUUCAUCCUCCACUGGGGACCCAAGCGUGGAAUGGAGGCCAAGUGUCAUGUUGUGUCCUGAGAGUCACCAUAGUGAAAGCUGGGGUGCUGGCUGAAGACAGAUCUUCAGUGCAUCUCCACCUGUCUCAUCUCUGUGCACUUGAUGCGGAGGAAGAAUUCUAAUUGCUGCUAGGCCAAAGAGGCAGGCAGUGUGCCCUUUGAAGUCUCAGGGCUACACCUCCUGGGGUGGGGAGUUUUCCCCAGCUGGCUCUGUGCUUGCUCAGAUUUUCCUCUGAGG
rnacentral:lncRNA from 1 species